CCACAUGUAAUCUCACAUGGCCUGUAUCUAUUUUUUUGGUUAUAUAAUACAUAUCUCAUCUAUAAUAUGUAGUAUACGUGAAAAUAAUAUGAUGCAUACCCUGGCAUUGCAUUGAUGUUAAAUAUAUGUAAUUUUUCUUGUUUAGUUUUCAGCUUUUAAAAUCUAAAAACUCAACAUAUAUCUUCAAUCAAGCUUUAAAAUUGAUAAUUAAGAAAAAACUGUUUUAUUUAAUUUUAAUUAGUUGAUAACUAAAAAUGUUACAAGUCUGGAGUUUUAAAUAGACAAAUGCUAGAAACUGCAAAAUAAUUUUACAUCCAUUUAAAUCCACAGAAAAAUAAAUUAUUACAAAAAGUGAUGUUUGAUUUUAAAUUAAACCCAUACAAAAAAAUUAAUAGAGAUGAUUUAAAUUAUCUUUUUAUAUAUAAAGGAGAGUUGAAGCUAUCUUGCAUGCAAUUUCUUUCCUUUUCUGUGUCAACUUUUGCCGGCCACUCGACGAAUAUUCCUAUUUCUACAUCUAACUCCUCUUUAAGCCUUUCAGAUUGUAUCCAUUAUUCAUUCUAUUUCAUUUUUCUACAGUCUUUACUUAUUGUUCAAACCUCGAAACCUUUCUAUUUCUGGCUUUUUAUUUCUUUUGAGAAUAUUCCAUCACGAUUCGCAGAAUUUGGUGCCCUUCAUUCGAACAUACGCUUCAAGUCCAUAAUAUAUUGGGCCUACCACAUAUGAAAACUAGGCCCAUAGUUUAGCUUAUUCUGUUUCUUCAUUACGCAACAUAUUCUCAACGAACAAAUAGUGUUCUUGUUAGAGAAGUUUACUUUCUCUUCGUAUGGAAGGAUGCGAAGGCAACAAGUAAAUGCCCAUGGAGACAUGUGUCAUUUCAACAAUCUAAAAUACUGAAGGUUUGUUAACUUUGAUGACCAUAUAACGUAUAUGAUAAUAACAAAACUAGUAGUAAGGUAAGUAACAAAUGAAUGAGCUGACACCAAGGAAAAGUAAUAAUAACGAAACUACUGAUCACCUUGUUGUAUCUUCUCUUGAGUACAAUAUUAACUGUUGGCCACUGCAGAAGUCGGAGGUUGACGUCAUCGUGAAAGACGGCCACCGUGCAUGUUGAUGUUGUUGAGGUGGAAUACGAUGGAAACGAAAAAACCAACACUUGAGUCUUGCUUUCACGGUUUCACCGCCGGGGAGAAGAUAAGAGAAGACAGAAGGCGAAAGAGAGAAGUGUUUAGAAUUAUGAAUAGUGAUAGAAAUGGUGUUUUCUCUUCCGGCUAUCGGCCAAGUAGAGGAGCGUGAACUCCACAUUUCACCCGGAGAGCUCAUAUGCCAUGAGAUCGGCAAGUGUAACCACAAGAGGAUGGGAGAAUUACUUGUUAAGUUUAUUCACUUUCAAAAUAAAAUUAAUUGGCUAUUUGCCAAAUAUUUUAUAUAUUAGUAUUUAUUUUUUUGACUAAAUAUAUAUUAGUAUAAGACCACUCUCCUCUUUCAUCAAAAACCUCUUCCUUCUCUCUUCGAAUCUCCAUUGUUGAAGCUUGUUCUCCGACUCCGGUUGCUCCCUUAGAGCCAGAGUCGGGUCUUUGAUUUUGGCUUUCUUCCCAUGGCGUUUCGAGUUGUCUCUUCUCCGUCUCUGUCAUUCCGGUCGAUGACUUGUGAACUUAAUUGUUCUGUCUCCUGAUGUAUGAAGCUUUGGUCUCUAUAUUGCAUGUGCUAUUCUUUAUACGAGGAGACGCAAGCCGGAGGUAUCUUCCAAGUAUGGAGUCCUCGCCUUAUCUUCAUUCAAAGGAGCUCUGAUGUAGUCAACAUGCAUUGUUUUGUUGUUUUUUUUUUUUGUUUCUUUUGAUCUGGCCAUUCCUUAUUCUAGUUUAGGUCGGUAAAAUUAAAGAUCGGUUUAUCUUUCUGUUGAUCAUUGUUUCCCAUGUGUAGGUUGUUGUUUCCGGGUACCUUUUGUUUGGUUCGUCGGACUGUUCUUACCGGGAUUAGUGGUAAUCGCCAGUCAAUGUAUCUUGUGUUUGUUAAUCAUAAUGAAAAUAGUGUUUAAAAAAUA